ACAUUAGGAUGUUGAUAGUGGUUACAAUGGAUGAUAGUGGAUAAUUAUAGACAUGCUUUCAAAAUGGCGUAUGCUGAACAAUUUUAUUUUCAGUCAACUUGGAGCACACUUAAUCAUUUUAUGGCAAGAAUAGGUAAAUGUUGGCUGAACUGUAUAAAAUAAGGCGUUCAAGGAUGCAAUUCGGAAGCGUAAAAAAAGACUUGAGGCAUAUGCAAGAGAACUAUCUUCACGUAGCAGACUGACAUUUGUGGUGAAUUCACUGAAUUGCUCUGGAAGCUAACAGUUAUUGGUUGUUAUUCUGGCUAUGUGAAACCAAUCUAUCUGCAUGAGUUCUAUCAUGAUUUUAAACAGCAAAUCGAUGCGUUGCGUAUGAGUUGUAUCGACCAGCUUACUACACAGUCAACACUUCACCAAUUUGGAAUUUGAAACAUUUUGGUGAUAAGAAUUUUAUACCGACGUAUCCCUGCGAUAAAAAGACUCACAAGAAAAACUGUUUUGUUCAGAGUAAGAUUAAUAUAAAAAUUUUUGAUGCUAUGAGAUGGUCUCAUCAAUGUGCAACAAUUGAACUGGAUUUCCAACUUCCUGAGAGAUUCAACCUCACGCUAGGAUUUUAUGGCUUUCUCCCCAUCAAGUUGUAGUAAUUCCUGUCAGUAGUAAAUAUGAUGAUUAUGCCGAACCGGUAAAUUUAAUUUGAUUCAAAAGAAGUUCCAUGCAGCUGGUUAUCGUGUUGAUACAGACUUGGAUCACGGAUCAACACUAAAUAAGAAAGUUCGCAAUGCACAACUUUCACAGUACAACUUCGUUCUUGUUGUUGGUGAAAAGAGACGGUCUCAGACACGGUCAACGUCAGAACACGUGACAACAAAGUACUCGGUGAAAAAUCGGUCAUGGCCGUGAUCGAACGCUUGCGAGAUUUAGUCAUCUCACGAAGUCUGACAAGCGAAGAUUUUUGAAGUAAAACAACAUUUUUAUGAAAAAUAGGUACGCGUACAUGCCACUGGUCACUGGCAAGCUGGCGGCAUUGGUCACUAAUACUUUAUCAGUGGUGGUAAUAUUGAUUUUAUCGUGGUGGUAAAUUCUUCCAUUGGUAAUUUAUGGCGAUAACCAUCAGCAACUUUUCAACUUUUUACCAUCAAGUUUUCACUCAAACGAGAUCGCUUCUCUUUCAUAUUUUGGCUUGUUUCUUGAGCUAGUAGGAGGCUGUGUGCGUUGAUACAAGAAAAACUUUGUUGUGCAGAGGAAGUGGGCCAAGAUCGUCCCUCGUUUUGACAGUCAUUUGCUAUUCGUACUGGAGCUCUAGAAUUUUACUGUUUUUAGUGAUCGAGGUAGAAGAACUGCUUGAAAAUGAAACUUCCAACAUUGAAAGAAAAUCAAGCAUGGCAGAAGAGAAACAACGACGCCAGGUUGAAGAUAGCUUGAUGAAAUUGAACGUAGUUGAAGCACCUAGCAUACGCUCGAGAGUUUUGGAUGAGGACUCGCCAACCACUGAAAACAUGAA